rnacentral:rRNA from 1 species
AACGAACGCUGGCGGCAUGCCUAACACAUGCAAGUCGAACGAGACGUUCGGGUCUAGUGGCGCACGGGUGCGUAACGCGUGGGAACCUGCCUUUAGGGUCGGAAUAACUCAGAGAAAUUUGAGCUAAUACCGGAUGAUGUCUUCGGCCCAAAGAUUUAUCGCCUUUAGAUGGGCCCGCGUUGGAUUAGCUAGUUGGGGGGGUAAAGGCCUACCAAGGCGACGAUCCAUAGCUGGUCUGAGAGGAUGAUCAGCCACCCUGGGACUGAGACACGGCCCGGACUCCUACGGGAGGCAGCAGUGGGGAAUAUUGGACACUGGGCGAAAGCCUGAUCCAGCAAUGCCGCGUGAGUGAUGAAGGCCUUAGGGUUGUAAAGCUCUUUUACCCGAGAUGAUAAUGACCGUUUCGUGAGCAUAAGCCCCGGCCAACUCCCUG